rnacentral:rRNA from 1 species
GAUGAACGCUGGCGGCGUGCCUAAUACAUGCAAGUCGAGCGAACAGACGAGGAGCUUGCUCCUCUGACGUUAGCGGCGGACGGGUGAGUAACACGUGGAUAACCUACCUAUAAGACUGGGAUAACUUCGGGAAACCGGAGCUAAUACCGGAUAAUAUAUUGAACCGCAUGGUUCAAUAGUGAAAGACGGUUUUGCUGUCACUUAUUGAUGGAUCCGCGCCGCAUUAGCUAGUUGGUAAGGUAACGGCUUACCAAGGCAACGAUGCGUAGCCGACCUGAGAGGGUGAUCGGCCACACUGGAACUGAGACACGGUCCAGACUCCUACGGGAGGCAGCAGUAGGGAAUCUUCCGCAAUGGGCGAAAGCCUGACGGGGCAACGCCGCGUGAGUGAUGAAGGUCUUCGGAUCGUAAAACUCUGUUAUUAGGGAAGAACAAAUGUGUAAGUAACUAUGCACGUCUUGACGGUACCUAAUCAGAAAGCCACGGCUAACUACGUG